AUUGAACGCUGGCGGCAGGCCUAACACAUGCAAGUCGAGCGGGGUUUUCGGACCUAGCGGCGGACGGGUGAGUAAUGCGUAGGAAGCUGCCCGAUAGAGGGGGAUACCAGUUGGAAACGACUGUUAAUACCGCAUAAUGUCUACGGACCAAAGUGUGGGACCUUCGGGCCACAUGCUAUCGGAUGCGCCUACGUGGGAUUAGCUAGUUGGUGAGGUAAUGGCUCACGAAGGCGACGAUCUCUAGCUGGUGUGAGAGGAUGAGCAGCCGCACUGGAACGGAGACACGGUCCGGACUGCAACGGGAGGCAGCAGUGGGGAAUAUUGGACGAUGGGCGCAAGCCUUCUCCAGCCAUGCCGCGUGUGUGAAGAAGGCCUUCGGGUUGUAUAGCACUUUCAGCGAGGAGGAAGAAGUGUGUGUUAAUAGUACACACCUUUGACGUUACUCGCAGAAGAAGCACCGGCUAACUCUGUGCCAGCCGCCGCCGUAAAAC
rnacentral:rRNA from 1 species